AGCGAUCAGCUAUCACGAUUUAUCGAAGCGCUGCCAUCUCAAUUGCGGAACAAAACAAUCUAUAUUAUAUUUUUGUGGGGGAGAUUUUCCCGUUUACGGCUGUUUUAAAGACCGGCGGCGCCCUUUGCAGCAGCUGUGGCCCACUACUCCGCCCUGCCUCAUCAACAAGUAAGUGGCACAAGAGCAAAUUGGGCAAAGCAUUUCGAACCAUUUAUCCGACCACUGGGACCCACACUGGCUAACGGCAACACCAAUGUUCGGUGGAGCCGGCGCUGCCCCGGCCAAUCACGCAGAUGUCGACAACGACGUGCCCUGCAUCUCCCCCAGCUACGACAGAGUGCCCGAUUGUGCCGCUGCCGGUGUCCAGCUCCCUGGGCGAACUCGCAGAAGCGUCGCAACAUUGCCGUGCAUGCCAUUAAAGCGAGGCGUCUGCUCAUCUCGACAGAUGUUGGCAGCCAUCAGGCCAUCAUUCGGGCCCGAGUCGAUGGCAAUGAGCGUAUGGAGCUGGAAGAAGUCACGGCGCUGGACCUGGACCAACAGUCCGAAGAAGUUGUAAACAUCAAUGGAAAGAACAAGUGAACAACAUUGCCGCCUAGGAGGAUUUGUGCACUGGCUGGGCGGCAAGACCGGACUGGAGAGGAUCACUGUCAACAGAGAGCGUCGUUCCGUGCAGCUGCAUCGUCUGUCGAAGUUCACCGAUAUCCGGGCCGUGUGACCACUGGAUGCGAAAGUGCUGCGCAAUCACACGGCCAAAUUGUUUCCACAACUGCAUAGCCAGCGGGGUGUGACACAGUACUCACGACGUUUGCUCGUGCCCCCAGGACAAGGAGAACUACGGCGUGUAUCCGGCCAGAUAAUUUUAAGUAGCGGGAGUAGUGACAUAAACAACGACUGUAUAUCCGCCUUCUGGCGCUGUGACGAAAGGACUGCAGGGCGGAUCACUUCAGCUGACAGUCGGUCGAGGGCAGCGACAAGGCUCUGAUCAGCGAUGGUACCACCUGUGACAAUGUCCACGAUGAGGCCGACUGCUGCAAGCGGCCAGGAGAACUUCAUACUGACAUGACAGUUUAUAAAUUCAGUUAUAGUAUUUAUGUGGCAGUCCAAUCGAAUGUAGAAAGUAUUCUAACUAAUGCAUAAAUUAUCGUAAAUGUCGUAA